rnacentral:rRNA from 1 species
UACACUCCUACGGGAGGCAGCAGUGGGGAAUUUUGGACAAUGGGCGAAAGCCUGAUCCAGCAAUGCCGCGUGAGUGAAGAAGGCCUUCGGGUUGUAAAGCUCUUUUGUCAGGGAAGAAACGGUGAGAGCUAAUAUCUCUUGCUAAUGACGGUACCUGAAGAAUAAGCACCGGCUAACUACGUGCCAGCAGCCGCGGUAAUACGUAGGGUGCAAGCGUUAAUCGGAAUUACUGGGCGUAAAGCGUGCGCAGGCGGUUUUGUAAGUCUGAUGUGAAAUCCCCGGGCUCAACCUGGGAAUUGCAUUGGAGACUGCAAGGCUAGAAUCUGGCAGAGGGGGGUAGAAUUCCACGUGUAGCAGUGAAAUGCGUAGAUAUGUGGAGGAACACCGAUGGCGAAGGCAGCCCCCUGGGUCAAGAUUGACGCUCAUGCACGAAAGCGUGGGGAGCAAACAGGAUUAGAAACCCUAGUAGUCCCAUGAU